AUUGAACGCUGGCGGCAUGCUUUACACAUGCAAGUCGAACGGUAACAGGGUGCUUGCACCGCUGACGAGUGGCCGACGGGUGAGUAAUGCAUCGGAAGGUACCGUGCAUUGGAGGAUAGCUUGGCGAAAGCCGGCUUAAUACCGCAUACGCUCUGAGGUGGAAAGUGGGGGACCGAAAGUGCAAACGGUAUUCGCUCAGACGUUGUCUGAUUAGCUAGUUGGUGAGGUAAAGGCGCACGAAGGCGUCGAUCAGUAGCGGGUCUGAGAGGAUGAUCGGCCACACUGGGACUGAGACACGGCCCAGACUCCUACGGGAGGCAGCAGUGGGGAAUCUUGGACAAUGGGCGAAAGCCUGACGGAGCCAUGCCGCGUGUCUGAAGAAGGCCUUCGGGUUGUAAAGGACUUUUGUCCGGGAGCAAAUCCUAGUUGUUAAUAACCGCUGGGUCUGAGAGUACCGGAAGAAUAAGCACCGGCUAACUACGUG
rnacentral:rRNA from 1 species